rnacentral:rRNA from 1 species
UACAGAGGUCUCAAGCGUUGUUCGGAUUCAUUGGGCGUAAAGGGUGCGUAGGCGGCGCGGUAAGUCGGGGUGUGAAAUUUCGAGGCUUAACUUCGAAACUGCAUUCGAUACUGGCGUGCUUGAGGACUGGAGAGGAGACUGGAAUUCAUGGUGUAGCAGUGAAAUGCGUAGAGAUCAUGAGGAAGACCAGUGGCGAAGGCGGGUCUCUGGACAGUUCCUGACGCUGAGGCACGAAGGUCAGGGGGAGCAAACGGGG